rnacentral:tmRNA from 1 species
GGGGGUGACUGGAUUCGACAGGGUGAGUUUUAGGUGGGCAGCAAGCCGUGGUCUCCUCGCCACGUUAAACAGGGGAAAUGUCAAAUUGAAUUGACAACACUCUUUCUUAUGAGCCUCAGAUGGCUCUCGCUGCUUAAUUAAAAGUUCAGCGCGUCAAACCGGGAUAUGCUCCCGCUUCCGGGGCGACGUCAUUUUAGGGAGAUGCUUGUAAGGACGUAGUCGGUAUGCCUUGCAAAAAGAUUGAACCGGCUGGAACAACAAACGCAGGUUGCUCGGCGUGCGUUGUUUAAGAUGUAAUGAGCAACUGAGCUUGGAGACACCUGCCGCGGAUUUGCUUUGGACCGGAGUUCGAUUCUCCGCACCUCCACCA